rnacentral:rRNA from 1 species
GGGCCCGCACAAGCGGUGGAGUAUGUGGUUUAAUUCGAUGCAACGCGAAGAACCUUACCAGGGUUUGACAUCCUGCGAAUCUCUUGGAAACGAGAGAGUGCCUUCGGGAACGCAGUGACAGGUGGUGCAUGGCUGUCGUCAGCUCGUGUCGUGAGAUGUUGGGUUAAGUCCUAUAACGAGCGCAACCCCUAUCGUUAGUUGCCAGCGAGUAAUGUCGGGAACUCUAACGAAACUGCCAGUGCAAACUGUGAGGAAGGUGGGGAUGACGUCAAAUCAUCACGGCCCUUACGAGUAGGGCUACACACGUGCUACAAUGGCGCAUACAGAGGGCAGCCAACUUGCGAGAGUGAGCGAAUCCCAAAAAGUGCGUCGUAGUCCGGAUCGGAGUCUGCAACUCGACUCCGUGAAGUCGGAAUCGCUAGUAAUCGUGGAU